UCAACCUGUGUUCACUUGGAACGUGGGUGGUGUCUCCAGCUUACAGAAUCCAAGGAGGAAGUUACCUGUAAAUUUACAGAUCUGAGUAUGCUUUCCUGAAGGACACAAAGAGUGCUAAGCAGAUACACCUGCUCAGCUUCAAAGUCUGUCUUGAGGAAAUGAGAGAGACAUUAUGGUCACUGUCUGGAGUGAGCUUUUAAAAGGAAAAAGAAUGAGAUCAUUGUUUUCGUGCAACUCAGCCACACAUCUUUCUUGUUUAAUCUGCAUUCCUUCUUCCUGUUUUUCUUCUUUCUCCUCCUGGUUCCCUCCUUUCUCAGACGUUUAGGCCAGUCUAACUAGCUUUUAGUUGCUACUUAGUGAGGAAAACACAGAUAAAUUACAAGGGAGCCUGUCCUCCAGGGACUUAGUUGCAUCAGAGCCGUGGAUCAAAAUGGCGGCCAGGGUCUUGGACGGAACCCGAGACAUGAGUUUGGAUCCUUCGCUGCUUAUCACCCGGGGAAGCCAAGAUGACCUAAGUCCUGUGACUGACCUUUAACCCAGCCUGUGAAAUGGGAGCCGAGAGGGAAUCUGUGAGGUCUCCCUAAGGGUGAAAGGAGAUAAGCCGUGAAGGCGCUGCACACAUGGCAGAUCUAGAAGAUCUAGAGCACGGAAGACAACCACGCAACGGCCACGACAGAUGCUGAAAGUGGACAGAGCUUCAAAGGAGGACCAGCGGGGGAGCAGGGAGAGCUCAAGGUCACGGUGUGUGCUGACGGACAGGGGAAGAGUUGUGGGACAACAAUGGAUCCAGUGCCAAACCCGAAGGUGUUUUGCAAAAGAUCUGAUCAUAUGUUGCAAAGGCACCAUAUCCUAUCAUCACGGUGCUUUGUGUCCUGCCCGGAGUGCGUGGAAAGAGAGAAGUCCGAGGAACCAGCCAGCCUCCCAGGCGGGAGAGGAGGUCAACGAGGCUUCAAAGGCAGUCCGUCCACAUCCUUCGCGUGUGUCCGGCCAGCACUCAGUCGCCCUCCGCGUGAAGCCCCCGGAUUCCUUAUGGAAACAGCCCCCCUGAGUCCCCUCCAUGUGUUUUGGAUUCUCACAGAGGCGAAGUCUUCCACUCGCGCUGACUCAAGGAUUCCCCUCCCACGACCAGACCAAUGACUGGUCAACCCCAGGUUUUGACACGGCGUGUCACAUCCUCAGGGACAGCUGGCUUUGCCAUUACCAACGAAAGACUCGUCUGAGUUUACACGGAAAAGCUGAGCCCCAAACGCCAAGAGACCAAUGCCUGAUGACAUCUUCUGAAUACCCGAGCCCCGUGGAGGGAGAACCAGUGUCCCUUAUAUAUGGCACAGAAAUGCUUUUUUCUCUCUUUUUUUUUUUUUUUUUUUUUGCUUCAGCC
rnacentral:lncRNA from 1 species